rnacentral:rRNA from 1 species
UGGGGAAUCUUGCACAAUGGAGGAAACUCUGAUGCAGCGACGCCGCGUGAGCGAUGAAGCCCUUCGGGGUGUAAAGCUCUUUCGACGGGAACGAUAAUGACGGUACCCGAAGAAGAAGCUGCGGCUAACUACGUGCCAGCAGCCGCGGUAAUACGUAGGCAGCGAGCGUUGUUCGGAAUUACUGGGCGUAAAGAGUGUGUAGGUGGUGCUCUAAGUUUGGUGUGAAAUCUCCCGGCUUAACUGGGAGGGUGCGCCGAAAACUGGAGUGCUUGAGUAUGGGAGGGGUAAGCGGAAUUCCUGGUGUAGCGGUGAAAUGCGUAGAUAUCAGGAGGAACACCUGUGGUGUAGACAGCUUACUGGACCAUCACUGACACUGAGACACGAAAGCGUGGGUAGCAAACAGGAUUAGAUACCCUGGUAGUCCACGCCCUGAACGAUGCAUACUUGGUGUGAGCCAUUCAUUUGGUUCGUGCCGGAGCUAACGCGUUAAGUAUGCCGCCUGGGGAGUACGGUCGCAAGGCUG